UACGUAGGGCGCAAGCGUUCUCCGGAAUUACUGGGCGUAAAGCGUGCGCAGGCGGUUUUGCCAGACAGAUGUGAAAUCCCCGGGCUUAACCUGGGAACUGCAUUUGUGACUGCACGGCUAGAGUGUGUCAGAGGGGGGUAGAAUUCCACGUGUAGCAGUGAAAUGCGUAGAUAUGUGGAGGAAUACCGAUGGCGAAGGCAGCCCCCUGGGAUAACACUGACGCUCAUGCACGAAAGCGUGGGGAGCAAACAGG
rnacentral:rRNA from 1 species